rnacentral:rRNA from 1 species
UACGUAGGGGGCAAGCGUUAUCCGGAUUUACUGGGUGUAAAGGGGGCGCAGACGGCGAUGCAAGCCAGGAGCGAAAGCCCGGGGUCCAACCCCGGGACUGCUCUUGGAACUGCGUGGCUGGAGUGCAGGAGGGGCAGGCGGAAUUCCUGGUGUAGCGGUGAAAUGCGUAGAUAUCAGGAGGAACACCGGUGGCGAAGGCGGCCUGCUGGGCUUUUACUGACGCUGAGGCUCGAAAGUGUGGGGAGCAAACAGG